UCUCUAGUUCCCAUAUGAGGGACACUGCUUCGAUCUCCGUCUCCUUGUUUAAAGCCUUAGGAGUCACCAAGGUCCUAGAUAACUUGGGAUCUCCUCUAAUUUGCACCUGCUGGCCGUUAAUGCAGAAAUUCAUCGUCAACGUUUUCCAAUUGACUUUCACUUCACCCAACGUUGCCAACCAAGCUACUCCCAAGAUCAUAUCCACCCCUCCUAACUCAAAAAGGAAAAAGGUCUCUUCAAACCUAUAAUUUCCCAGCUU
rnacentral:lncRNA from 1 species